AGGACGAACGCUGGCGGCGUGCUUAACACAUGCAAGUCGAACGAGGCGCUUGCGCCUAGUGGCGAACGGGUGAGUAACACGUGAGCAACCUGCCCUUGGCUCUGGGAUAGCCUCCGGAAACGGGGAUUAAUACCGGACAUGACCUUCUCCUGCAUGGGGGAGGGUGGAAAGUUUUUCGGCCAGGGAGGGCUCGCGGCCUAUCAGCUUGUUGGGGGGUAACGGCCCACCAAGGCGACGACGGGUAG
rnacentral:rRNA from 1 species